CACAGGCAAAUUGUUUGCACCUGUGCUCCCCAGGUGACCAGAAGGGGUGGACUAAGAGUGGAGCCCCCCUGUGCUCAUAUAAAGGCCAGACACUGAAGGGAGAGCAACUCUUGGAUCUGGGUUGCUUGCUGAGGAGUGCUGCACAGUCAGGAGCCUCUUCACCAGCUGGAGAUGUGAGAUAGAUCCCUGGUUGACUCUACUCGCACCCUGCCUGCUUGGACUUAUGCUGGUCGUCAAAAUGAAAAAGCCUGGGGAAACCAGUGAAUUGUGAACGUGAGAGGCAGCUCCUCCAGACUUCUCUGCAAAGAAAACUACCCAAGGAGUUACAGAUGGGGACACCAGCUACCUGAUCCCUGAAACGCCAAAGUCUUGCUGCAUGUCACGACAGCAGAUGCUGGCAUGGGUUGUACCUUACUAUAGGAGUCUCUUCAGAGCAGUCAUUCUGCAGACAGAUAUCUGCUCCAAAGAACAAUUGAUGGGACCUGAGGUGCCCUGCAGGCUGCACUGAAAUCACUGGGUGCUGUGAGCAAUCACCAUCCUUUGAAAAGUCUGAAACUGAGCAUUCUGCAGGUUCUAUGUCUCACAAGCAAAACAGUGCUUUCCCUAACACAAGCAGUCACCUAUUGGCUGUCACAGAGGGAAAAUACCUGCUUAUACUGGGAGGAGUAGAAUUCUGCAUUUUGCCAGAUCCUGCUGGGAAACAGCUGUGUUUAUACUUUGCACAUCUGUCAGAGCAGGCUGCUGAGAUCUCCAGAUCUGAGGACUGUCCCAGCUGAUUUAGCUCCUGGACACCUUUAGCUUCUGUCAUGGAUUCCUGCUUAUGAAUAGAUAAAACAGUGUACUGAAAGCUGCUGGGCAAAACUGUUGUGCUGAAUCCUUGGCAAGUUUCAGAAAGACAAACGUGAUGUUGUCAGACCAUCACCCAGUACAGCUGCAGUCACUCAACAGGCCAAAAGCAAGAUCCUGAUCUUGGGCAUCUCAGAGCACCCUGUAUGGCUGCAAGUAUCUGCCACUUCUAAGCAGAGGCCCUGUAUGACUCCAAAGGUUUCCUGAGCUCAAGCAGUUAUGGAUGCCAGCUGGAGCUCUGAAGAGGAGCUGGACAUGAUGGCCCUGGGGAGUUCCUUCCAUCUCAGGAUAAUCUGAUUGCUGAACUGCUACUUACAGCUUUUCACAGCCUUCCUACUUGUUCUUGUUCAGUGCGUCUGUUUGAAAGUGUCUUGAAGAUGAAGUUAUUUCCUGGAGGAAUUCUGAAGGCAACAAGAAGCAUUUUCUCAAGGAGGGAAAAAAAAAAAACCAAACCCUGGAGUGACUUGUGCCUAAAUCCUGGAGCAGAACAGAGUGGCAGCCAGGGCUGCUUACCAGGACAGCAUUUUUGCCUUUUUGUCUCUCUGGGGAUUCUCAAGUAGGAAAGAAAACUGUGGUGUUACUGCUGGGAGGAUUUUUCCUGAUCCUGAGGGAAUCCAUUCUGGAAGCUUGAUCCAAAUGACAGCUGCCUCCAAUUACCACUCUACACAUUGCUGUGGGUAUUUGGUUACAAUCAAGACUGGAGGCUUGAUGACAGCUAGAAGUACUAGCAAGGAAACCUCAGAUGGUUCAGGCUACAGCAGCAUGGGUGCAGGACAACCUGGAUGUAAGUCAGCAGAACAUCUACAGGGCUAAUUAGGACCAUGACCUUGAAAAGGCAUUUUCCAGUACUGUUCACUUAGGUUGAAGCUAGAGACAGAGGAAGGUAUGCACUUCCCAUUAUGAGUGCUACUCCUAAGUUUUCCAACAGGUGCCAAGUAUGGUGGCUUUGAAAUGUAUUUUGGAGAGCUAACAAAGUGGCUAAAGCAGAUGAUUCAUAACAGGCUGUACUAAGACCAAAAAAACCCCACCAACUGGAGUGGUCAUUAAUUUGUGAGGUGAGCAGGCAGCACUCACCAAGCAAGUGGUGCACUGCCUGUUUCCCAGCCUGCCUUCAAACAUCUGCGCGCCUCAGAAGCAAGUGUAAUGUUAUUCUCCCAAGGUGACCCCCUGCUCUGCACUGCAGAAGAAUGAUGGUGAUGUUACAGGCUGGAAUGGAGUAACAGAAGGUGAGUUGUUUGAAGGUGAAAUCCCAUACUUAUCUACUUCUGCCGUGCUUUCUUUGUGAGGACCUGCAAACCCACGGGGUGGUCUUUCUCUUUUCAUUCCUCUGCCUGUAUGCUUGGCUGAACCCCAGUGACUGAGCUGCAAGAAAGACCUUACAAUCUGCUGGCAUGGAGGAGCAUCCAGAGAGCCUGGGAGACACCCAAUGUCCCCAGGCACUGAUGUACCCUCUCUAAUACCCACAGAUGAUUCAAGCAAGGCUCAUCUUUCCCCCAACUUCUGAAAUAGCCAUGGGAGCCCUUCAUGGCAAGCUGCCCAUGGCAGGAACCAGUCAGAACCUGCUUCUCCCUGAUGGAAGCCAUCAAGGAAGAGAUGAACAGGAGACUUUGUAAAUGUCUUUAUAACAUGGAAAGCUUUGGAUUUAUGGUGAUAAAUAAUGUUUUCCGCAGUAUGCAUCAACCUGAUUAAUUUCUUUCUAAAUUUAUAGCUUGUGUGUCCUUUAAUCUAUCUUGUGCCAUAGCAACAAUAACAAGCUGAUUGCUGUACCAUUUCAAUCAGCAUCAGUGGCAGUGAGCAGAUGUAUCACUGCCUCAACAAUAGCAUAGGUUUCGUUUCUGAAAAACAUUACUUAGGGCUUUUACUCCAGUUGCAGACGUUAUCUUUUUGUUUUCUGAACUUCUGGUGAAGGAGAACUAACAGUGCUAUAUAAUGCUUUGUGUUUAAUGGAUCUUGUGGUAAGAAGGAUUGAAAAGCAAUACAAGCAGAAAG
ensembl:lncRNA